GACGAACGCUGGCGGCGUGCCUAAUACAUGCAAGUCGAGCGAAGUUUUUCUGGUGCUUGCACUAGAAAAACUUAGCGGCGAACGGGUGAGUAACACGUAAAGAACCUGCCUCAUAGACUGGGACAACUAUUGGAAACGAUAGCUAAUACCGGAUAACAGCAUUAACUGCAUGGUUGAUGUUUAAAAGUUGGUUUUGCUAACACUAUGAGAUGGCUUUGCGGUGCAUUAGCUAGUUGGUGGGGUAAAGGCCUACCAAGGCGACGAUGCAUAGCCGACCUGAGAGGGUGAUCGGCCACACUGGGACUGAGACACGGCCCAGACUCCUACGGGAGGCAGCAGUAGGGAAUCUUCCGCAAAGGGCGAAAGCCUGACGGAGCAACGCCGCGUGAGUGAAGAAGGAUUUCGGUUCGUAAAGCUCUGUUGUUAGGGAAGAAUGAGUGUGUAGUAACUAUACACAGUAGAGACGGUACCUAACCAGAAAGCCACGGCUAACUACGUG
rnacentral:rRNA from 1 species